UCUCUUCUUGAUCACUGCUA
rnacentral:misc_RNA from 1 species